UACAGAGGGUGCAAGCGUUAAUCGGAUUUACUGGGCGUAAAGCGUGCGUAGGCGGUUCGCUAAGUCGGUUGUGAAAUCCCUGGGCUUAACCUGGGAACUGCAGUCGAUACUGCCGUGCUUGAGGACUGGAGAGGAGACUGGAAUUUACGGUGUAGCGGUGAAAUGCGUGGAUAUCGUAAGGAAGACCAGUGGCGAAGGCGGGUCUC
rnacentral:rRNA from 1 species